AGAGGGGUGUGGAGUGGGGGGCGGAGUGUGGUCAGAGGUGCCCCUCCGCCGGCCGCUGGAGGGUGUAAAAGGCCAGCCAUGAGACAUUGGGGGGCAGGAGGGUGCUGGUGCCUCACUGACCAGCUUGCUGCUCCAAAAAUGUGGUCAUUUCCACUGGCUCCUCUCUUGUCCCUCCCCCAGGCCCAGGGCCUGCCAUCCUGGUCCCGGGAAAGGACUUCCUCAGCUGGGGAAGCUCUGACGACACUCAGCCUCAGGUUCCGCAUCUGUCAGCAGGGAUGAGAGGAGCAACCGUGACUGUACAGAGUGCCCCGUUUGAGAUGGCUACAAAGAAGAAGCAAAGAAAAACGGAAGAGGAAAACCGUGAAUUUAAAGUUGAAUGUAUCUACCUAUGUAGUUUAAGUUUAAAAAAUUUGGCUCUCAAAAGAAAUUUCAAUCGUUAUACUAUUGAUAUUUGGCUCUGUUGACGAAUGAGUUUGCCGACCACUGUACUAGGCUUACUGUGGUGACCGUUUCCAAGUGUGUACAAACAGCAAGUCAUUAUGUCGUGCACCUGAAACCAAUAUAAAUGUCAAUUACACCUCGAUUUUAAAUUAAACAAAUAAAUAUUUUUCUCGAUGUAAAAUAAAAUGUAAAAUUAAAGAAAAAUCUUCGCUCUAGCCAGUGUUUUCAGUGGUUAGAGCAUAAGCUGGUGCACCGAAGGGUUUUGGGUUCGAUUCCCAGUCAAGGGAAUUACUUCCUGGUCAAGUGCAUCCAGGAGGCAACCAAUUGAUGCGCCUCUCUCGUAUCGAUGUCU